AUCUGUUAAUAGCUCAGUCGGUAGAGCAUGGGUUCGAAUCUCACGGUCAUGGGUUCGAGCCCCACAAUGGGCA